GUUUCUCCCCUCCCGCAGUGGCCAUAUUUGUUGAUGUGUCAUAUCGAAGUGAGUUGUUGGGGCUAUCAGCUGGUAAAGCAGAGAGCCCAAAGUUAUCUCUUGCCUGGGUUCUCUCCGAAUUGAACUACACCAUGGCCUUUCCGCAUUCGAUUUAAACCAGAGGGACCAUGGAACAGCCUGGUCCUGCCUCAGAUACACACAUGAUGGAAGGAUCGGAGGUUGAAUCUGUGUUGGAGGGAUUGCAACUGGUGAAUCAACCUCACAACAGCACAUCUAACAUAGAAGAAGAGGAGGAACAAACCUCUCACGACAGUGCAGAUGAGGCAGAAAAGGGCAGUCAGGCAAAGGAUGAAUCAGAGCUUGACAGUAAAUUAAUCAAGACUACGACAGAGAUAAAGACAAAGUCGGAAGCUCAAACAUGCAGUCAGGAACAUGUAGAGGGGAGAGAGUUGGAUGCUGAUGACGGCUGUAAUAGCAGUACAGUUUCAAAGGAAGGUGGGAUCCCUUCACUUUCAAAUGAGGCUGGCCCAGUCACCCCUUUGGAUGAUGUGGUAGAAAGCUCUCCUUCUGUUCUUGAAGGGACAAUAGAAACCUUAUUGACUUUUGAUAAAGGGAAGGAUUCUCAUGCCACCACUCCAAACAGCAAUGAGCAGCCAUCAGUCUUGGUUACAAAUUGUCCCACAGAGCCAUCGCCUGCUGAUGAUAGGGAUUCAGCUGAGAGUCCAUCAUCCACUUCCAUCCAAAGCACUUCCAAAAACUCCCCCACCGACUCGACAACCUCCUCUGGGUUCUGUAAUGGACCUUCUACCCCCAGUUCAGAGACUGUUGGCUCCUCCUUUGCUUCCAGCCCACAAACCAGUGCUAACACCUCAGCCCCCUCACAUGCCUUGUCAAGUCCGUAUGACACUGAUUGCAGCCGAAAGCUCAUCUCCCAGAUCCAGCGCUCGCUGUCACAGGAGUCACUGCUGGAUGAGCUAGAGUCAGAGCUGUUGGCUUUUCAGCUGCCUGAGGGGGGACGUGGAGGUGAGAGGAAAGGGAGCCCACCUGUCAAUGGUCUCCCUACAGACCAAGAGGGCUGCAUGGUGGUCUUUGAGAAAUGUGUGCAAUUCAAGUAUGCACAGCAGGAGAAAUCUAUUCAGAGGCUGCUUGAGGAGAACAAGAGGCAUCAGGAGCUGAUCCUGGGUAUUUGUUCAGAGAAGGACAACAUGAGAGAAGAGCUGAAAAAGAGGGCAGAAACAGAAAAGCAGCACAUGGCCACUAUUAAAAAGUUGGAGGGCAGGGUGGAGGAGCUGCUGAAAGAACUUAAGGAGUCGCGGGAUAAACUAAUUCACCAGGACCAGGCAGCUAAGGCUGCCCUCCAGCACAUGCAUAAGGAGAUGUCCUACAGGCUUGAACAGGUGAACAAGAAGUGUGAUGAGGCACGCCAAGAGAAGGAGUCCAUGGUGAUGAAAUAUGUGCGGGGGGAGAAAGAGGCCCUGGACCUGAGGCGGGAUAAGGAGAGUUUGGAGAAGAGUCUGAGGGAAGCCACCAAGGAGGUAGACCGCCAGGCCCUCCGAGGAAACCAGCUGGCUCAGGAGAAAGGUCGGCUACAACAGCUGUAUGAUGCUAAGGAAGGCGAGGUUAGCAGGUUGACUCGAGAGGUGGAAAAGUUGAAGGAGGAGAUCAACUCGCAUCUUAUCAAGGUCAAAUGGGCCCAGAACAAGCUAAAGAGUGAGGCAGAUGCACACAAGGAAACUAAAGACAAACUGAGAGAGACCACUUCCAAACUGGCCCAGGCCAAAGAAGAGACUGAACAGAUCCGCAAGAACUGCCAGGACAUGAUCCGAACAUACCAGGAAUCGGAGGAACUCAAAUCGAACGAGCUGGAUGCUAAACUAAGGAAGACCAAAGUAGAGCUGGAGAAACACAAGCAGGAACAAACGGACCAGUUAGAGGUGCACCGAGUGAAGGCCAAAGAGCUGGAUGACCUGAAAAGGAGUUACAAAGAGGGCAUGGAUGAGCUCAUUACUCUACGAACCAAGUUAAAGUGUCUAGAGGACGAGCGUCCACGCUGGGAGGACGAGCUGAGCAAGUACAGGGAGAUCAUCAACCGGCAGAAAGCGGAGAUCGGACGCCAGAGAGAAAAGCUGGAAGAGAUCACUGCGCUCCAGGACCAGCAUCAACGUGAUAAACAGGAGAUCACAGCUCUUCGUGAGGAAAUGGACAGCCUGACCAACCAGAUGGCAGACCUUCAGCGUGAUGUACAAGGCAGCAGGGAGCGGGAGGCUGAGUUACUGGGCUUCACCGAGAAGCUGAGCAGCAAGAACGCCCAGCUCCAGUCAGAGAGCAACUCACUGCAGUCUCAGCUGGAUCAGCUCAACAGCAGCUUCACAGAGCUCCAAGCAAAGCUGGAGGAGACCAACAGGCUGCUAGAUGACAAGUCACGGCAGCUAAAACAGGAAGAGGUGCUGAGGCAGCAGGAGGUGCAGGGCCUGCAAGAGGAGCGGGCAGCACUGCAGACAGAGAUGGCUCAACUAAAAACCCGAGUUGAAGAGCUGAGGGAUGAGCUGGUGACUCAGAAAAGGAAACAAGCUGCCAACAUCAAGGACCUGACGAAGCAACUAACACAAGCCCGUAAGAGACUGGAGCAAGUUGAGAAUGGAGGCUGCGAACGGGAUGCCAGCAGUAUGGGCAGUCGCUCAAGUUCCUCAGGUACUGCUCCUGGAUUUGGCUCCUUGAAUGCACGCCACGUUGGGAUCAGUGGUGUUGAAGAGCGGUCACCAGAGAGCCAGUCGGGUCCUUCAGUGGUGGCCGUGGACAGCUUCCCAGAGGUCGACAAGACCAUGCUUGUGGAGCGCAUUGUCCGUCUGCAGAAGGCCCUGGCUCGCAAGCAGGAAAAAAUUGAGUUCAUGGAGGAUCACAUUAAGCAACUGGUGGAGGAGAUCCGCAAAAAGACCAAGACAGCCUGGUGAACACUGAUGAGCUAACUGUAAGCCUGAAGCAGGUGAUCAAUAAAGAGACAAGAGAUGUGGAAGCAGAAGCAUAGUGGUUCUCUGACAAAGGACAGUUAGUUUAAGAAAGACUGUUUUAUUUACGUUUCCACAUCCAUACCACUCUGUUGUAUGAUCAUAACAGUGUUUUUGCAUCUUUAACCUCAUUUACUAUUAACGAUUGUAACUAGGGCUGCACAAUAUAUCGUUUUUUAUCGUCAUCACGAUGUUAGCUCUGCGAUAAACUCAUUGCAAUAGACUGCCAUAUUGCACUUUGAAUAUACUAACAAAUUAAAUUACAUUCUGUCUUUAGCCACUAGUCUGUCUGGUACACGCUAUGCUGUUAUCUCUCUAGCCAAUCAGACAGAGCCCUCCUCUGAUUGGUCAGAAUCUGCACGCAUGUGAGUGAGGUUUAUUAGACCAGUGUGACAAGAUGAGUGCAGACGAAAGUGCGAAUACAAGAGAGGAACUGGUGCACUGGCAAUAUUUUGGAUAUAGCGGUGACAUGGCACAAGCACAUGUAGUUUGCGAGUCAAAAACUGAGUACACUUUAGUAUAUGUUUAUUUAUCACAAGUAAUAUUGUUAUCGUGAUACUCAACAACGUAAUCACAUAUUCCCUUAUGUCGUGCAGUCCUAAUUGUAACCAUUUACUACUCAUAUGUACCCACUAUUUUCCAAAGAGUUGCGAAGUGGGGGGAGCUAUUUCAGCUACCCCUGGUUCAGGAAGUAAAAGUUCCAUGGUACAUUUUGGUAAGAAACGUCCAAUCACAGAGCUUAAAACUCUGUUUGGCAAAACCUAGUCUACGCAGUUGAGAAAACUCAUGCUACAGUCUGCAGCUGGGUCAAUUUUGGAAGAAUUCGGCAACUAUGGCGCCAUGUUUUGUUCCUAGCUGCAACUGCAAUGUCAUAGUGUUUUGAAUUUGCUGAAGCUUUGAUCUGCGCCUCUGGCAUCAACAGCGUAUUGCAGUAUUUGCAUGGGUAUUGCAGUAUUUAGAGCAGUUUUCCAUGCCAUACUGAUGAAAAAACAUGAUGUUGAAAUAAUUAAAACUGGUGGCCACGAGAGAAACCCAUUGUGGGGGAAAUACUCAAACUUUGUAUCUCUAUUGCUACAUGAUUGUUUUAAGAUUUUAUUUUCACCUAUCAUGUAGCUUUUAAUUAUGUUUUCCGAGUGGCAUAUUCAUGUGCUGCAAGAAGUCAAACACGGGUCAUUGGCUGCAAUGUUCAUAUAGUAUAUGUGAUUUGUAGUAAAUGGGAUAAAACAUGCAGAAACAACCACGUCAUCCAAGUGCAAUGAUGUCUGUCCUUCAGUACCCACACCUGGUUAUUAGGACCAUUAAGUCUAAAUGGGCCAUUCGUGUGACUUGAAUUAAAAUUAUGCUGAUAUAAACCAAAUGAGCACAAAGCAGAAGGCUGCCUUCAGUUCAGAAGAUGUAGAUGGCUGUUUGUCUAAACAAAGCAACCCUUUUACUUUGUUGUAAUCAAUGCUAAGCAAUACAAGCUCUGUAGUAGGCUAUUAUGGAUCCACACCUGCUGAAUGUGUUACAUUAUAGUGGAUCCUUUCAAGGUUAUCUGGGAGUUCUGUCCUCCACUACCAGUAAGGCUUAGAUUUUUUUUAUGCUUUUAAAUUUUGGUUGAUAGGCAAGCCAGUGCCUGUGAUUUAUUUUGUGUAUAAUUCAGAGGACACAUUUAGAUUUGAUCAUUUAUCGAGCAUGUACGGCUGUACAUGUUGCAACAAAAAGCUUUUAAACAUGAAACUGAUAAUUGCCUUUUUGAAAUUCAUGGUUUUUGCCUGCUUAGUUCUAGAUCCGAUAAAGAUAAAACAUACAAACAACCACAGGCAUAUCGUUCUUUCUCUGCAUCUUCGCUUUUUGUCUUUCCGCUUUUUGGGAACAAGGUUUAGUCACCAAGAUCUGGGCUGUUUAGUGUGGUCCAACUGUACCCAGAAUUGCCACCUUCACUUCAUGCAUGCUUGACUUGCCGCCCUCAUUGCUUCCACUCUCUCAACUUGGAAAAAAAGGACGUAUUACUCACAAAUUCAAAAAGAAGUCUUGCUUACAUCCCUGCCCCCCGCCGAACUGUGCAUGCCAUUCAGCACACCAUGUGGCCACAUCUUUAAUUUCUGUCACUUUUUUGUUUUUACUAAACACUGUCGAGAUGGAACUGGGGUCCAAAUAUGGACCCUUGCAAGUCUAGUCAGAGAAUUAUCCAGAGCUAUGUGCUAAGAGAGGAGUCAGGGGCCUUCUCAUCAGAGGCGUCGGACAUUAACAAGGCCAACCUUAGCCGGCGGGGAGGCAUCAUGGCUUCGCUUUACUCCUCCCACCCGGCAGACAGCGGGC